rnacentral:rRNA from 1 species
AUUGAACGCUGGCGGCAGGCCUAACACAUGCAAGUCGAACGGUAACAGGAAGAAGCUUGCUUCUUUGCUGACGAGUGGCGGACGGGUGAGUAAUGUCUGGGAAACUGCCUGAUGGAGGGGGAUAACUACUGGAAACGGUAGCUAAUACCGCAUAACGUCGCAAGACCAAAGAGGGGGACCUUCCGGCCUCUUGCCAUCGGAUGUGCCCAGAUGGGAUUAGCUAGUAGGUGGGGUAACGGCUCACCUAGGCGACGAUCCCUAGCUGGUCUGAGAGGAUGACCAGCCACACUGGAACUGAGACACGGUCCAGACUCCUACGGGAGGCAGCAGUGGGGAAUAUUGCACAAUGGGCGCAAGCCUGAUGCAGCCAUGCCGCGUGUAUGAAGAAGGCCUUCGGGUUGUAAAGUACUUUCAGCGGGGAGGAAGGGAGUAAAGUUAAUACCUUUGCUCAUUGACGUUACCCGCAGAAGAAGCACCGGCUAACUCCGUG